AACAACAGGAAUGUUAUGUAC
rnacentral:miRNA from 2 species